rnacentral:pre_miRNA from 8 species
UGUCUCUGGUUUAUUCUGCCGGUCCCCCCAUGGAAGACUAGUGAUUUUGUUGUUGUAAUCAAAAGAAAACAUAAAAUCACUGUCUGCCACUGGGGUGGCUGGCCUACGCAGCUUUGGAACUC